CGCGCGUGGUUCGUUCGUUCGUAUCUCCAGGCUAGUAAGUACUGAGGGCUUCAUCUAUCUAAAAGGAGUCAUUUUUAUCUGAAUGUGGCAGCACCGGGACACAGCAGCAGAGCGAAUAUGACGAUGACAUCAUGGAACUGGUCUUUGGAAAAGUUUUCCCUGAACCAACUCCAUUUCUAGAUGAGGUAGAGAAGAUCUGCAUCUCACCAACCCUCUGAUCUCAGUAUUCAGACAACGGAGGUCUCCCACUGUUAUCCAGGACCAUUUUGAAGCCCACAUACUGCCCCUCCCUCAUCAUCAGGAAACAUCAAUCCGUAUCCUGAGGACAACAGAAGACGGCAGGAGGACAGGAACUCUGAGACCUAGACACCACCAGCACCGAGACACAAAGCACCUGUGUGCACAACGCCUGUUUAACUACUAAAGCCUGUUUAUUAUAUUGUUCUACUUAUUUGCUGUGAGGUUAAUACUUAGAAAAUUUGUAUAUUAAUGUAAACAAUUAAAAAAAUCACUGAUUGUA